GGCAGGGACAGUUUUAACAAUCACAAGAUAGAAAAGAUGGAUAGAAAAUGGGUCACACUGCCUUUCUUUGUGGGCCAUCUUAACAGAGCUUGACUUGGCUUGCCCAAAGCCCUUUCAAAUCUAUCUUAGGUUCCUUUUUUUCUAAUUCAUACAUCUUUUGUUGAUGUUAAACUCAGGGGAGGCUAAAAUCUUCAAUUUUAGCCGGCCAGGCUCCCUCCGGGAUGCAACCCUAGCUUGCAUCCAUAUGGGCCGUGAAGGGGGAAACCCUGUUUCGGCCCUAGGAUCAAGUAGCUUCGGCUCCUGGUCAUACAUUGCUUCAAUGAAUAAUUGCCAUGCUUUGUUGGUCACCUUAACAGAGCUUGAUCUGGCUUGCCCUUAGUCGUCUCAAUUGUCUUAGGUUCCUUUUUUUUUCUAAUUCAUACAUAUUUUGGUGAUGUAAAACUCAGGGGAAGCUAAAAUCUUCAAUUUUAGCCGGCUAGGCUCCCUCUGGGUUGCAACCCUAGAUUGCAUCCGUAUUGCCUGUGAAGGGGGAAACCCUGAUAUCAAGUGGCUUUGGCUCAUGAUCAGCACAUACAUUGCUUACAUGAACAUAGCCAUGCCUUACCUUUUUUUUAGAUAUUGCCCAGCUGAUAUGUAAAUACGUCACUUGCCCAUUGUUGCCCUGUGAUGAGUCAAGUGUCUUUGGUUUAGUUUUGUGUUUUCAUGCAUCUUUUAUAGAGGUUAAACUCAUGGGGGGUAGGGGCUAUACAAUUGCAACUCUUCAAAACACCCAGAUAAAAUUCCCUCAAAGAGAAGAAACGAAAAGGGUUGGGCAGGGUCAGUUUUAACAAUCACAAGAUAGAAAAGAUGGAUAGAAAAUGGGUCACACUGCCUUUCUUUGUGGGCCAUCUUAACAGAGCACGACUUGGCUUGCCCAAAGCCCUUUCAAAUCUAUCUUAGGUUCCUUUUUUUCUAAUUCAUACAUAUUUUGGUGAUGUAAAACUCAGGGGAAGCUAAAUUCUUAAAUCUGAUAUCAAGUGGCUUCAGCUCAUGAUCAGCGCAUACAUUGCUUCCAUGAACAUUGCCAUGCCUUACCUUUUUUUUAAAUGUUGCCCAGCUGAUAUGUUAAAGCGUCACUUGCCCAUUAUGCAUUGCCCUGUGAUGUGUCAAGUGUCUUUGGUUUAGUUUAGUUUUUUCAUGCAUCUUUUGUUGGGGUUAAACUCAUGGGGGGCAGGGGUUAUACAACUGCAACUCUUCAAACAAUCCAGAUAAAAAAAAAACCUCAAAGAGAAGAGACAAAAAGGGUUGGGCAGGAUCAGUUUUAACAAUCACAAGAUAGAAAAGAUGGAUAAAAAAUGGGUCACAUUGCAUUGCUUUGUUGGCCAUCUUAACAGAGCUCGACUUGGCUUGCCUAAAGCCCUUUCAAAUGUCUGGGGUUCCUUUUUUUCUAAUUCAUACAUCUUUUGUAGAUGUUGAACUCAGGG